rnacentral:tRNA from 1 species
AAAAAAUUAGUUAAAAAAUAACAUUAGUUUGUCAAGCUAAAAUUAUUAAAUUAUUAAUAUUUUUUA